ACAUCGAGAAAAAUGUUUUUGAGAAUGUUUUUAAUACAGUAAUGAACAUUCAAGGUAAAACAAAAGACAAUGCGAAAGCAAGAGAAGAUUAGAAACUCUUUUGUAACAAAAAAGAGUUAGAAAAAAACAUUGCCACAGGUAAAUAUCCAAAAAGCCUGUUAUUCAUUAGACAAUAGGCAGAAACAAGUCUUAUGUGAAUGGGUGAAAAAUCUAAAAUUCCCAGAUGGUUAUGUGUCAAAUAUGGGAAGGUGUGUAGAUAUGAGCAAAUACAAGCUAUUUGGAAUGAAAAGUCAUGAUUGCCAUGUUUUCAUGCAAAGGUUGAUGCCAAUUGCAUUUCGAGAGAUGUUGCCAAUCAAGGUUUGGGAAGCAAUGACUGAAUUAAGCAUUUUCUUUAAAAGCUUAACUGCAAGAGUCAUUAAAGUUGAAGAAAUGACAAGAUUAGAAGAUGAAAUCUCAAUAAUUCUCUGUAAAUUAGAGAGCAUAUUUGUUCUGGGAUUUUUUGACUCAAUGGAGCAUCUUCCAAUACGUUUGCCAUAUGAGGCUAGGAUUGCUGGUCUUGUUCAAUAUCGUUGGAUGUAUGGGUUUGAGAGAUUGCUCCAUGAGUUGAAAAAAGAUGUGAAAAAUAAGGCCAAAGUGGAAGGGUCGAUUUGCAAUGCAUACUUAGUGCGUGAAGCAUCUAUAUUUUGUUUUCAUUAUUUCGAGCCACAUGUUUAAACACGUAGCCGAAAAGUACCUCCAAAUGGUUAUACAUGGGGACAUCUUAGUGUUGAUACAGUUGAAUUUUAUUGGGAGGAGUUCAAGAAAUCUUUUGAUUGGGAUGAUGCAAAAACAACUUUAGUGUAUAAUUCUUGGGAGAUGAAGGCUAAAAUAAGAUAUGCUGAUUACAUAAGCAUAUUAAGGAAAAAUCCAAGACAUGUCUAUAUCCCACCAAAAAUAUGGACAAAGUGGAAUGAAGUUUAGAAUUCUGAAGAGGGCAAGAAGAAAACAGAAUUGGCUAAGAAAAACAGACGUGGAGGAGUUUUAAAUUGAGUUGCUCAAUCUACCCAUACCACAGGGUCAACACCUCACAUAAAAGUUGCAGCUCAACUUGAAGGACAAUUGGGUCAUUAUCCAUCAUAUUAUGAACUUUUCAAGCAUACACAUACCAAACAACACGAUGGAGAAACAUUCAUAGUUGAAAAAGCCAAACAAAUUCAUGAACAAGUUGCAACGCAACGGGAGAUGUCGACAGGAACUGGGGAGCAAGUAGAUGAUAAUCAAUUAUAUUAUGAUGUGGCUGGUGGACAUGACAAGAAAAGAAGGAUUUAUGGACUUGGUUCAUAUGGUUGUUCUAUUGUUAACGGUUCAACUAGUGAUAACACUUCUGGCAAUAUGACCCCAACAUCUCGACCACCCGACAAUGCUACUUCUGCAAGUGUACAAGAUGAAAUUCAGAGUUUGAAGGCUAUUAUUCUCCUUAUGCAACAACGAUUUGAUGCUAUUGAUGGCGGGAGAGCGGGUACUUCAUCAUCACCUCCAUCUCAAACCGAUUAUUUUCAAUAUGGAUUGUUGUUUUUUAAGACUAUUACAUUAUUGCUUUGACUUGAAUUGACUAUUAUUAUGUAUUAAAUGUGAUUGGAUAAUGUAUUAUCACUUGAACUUAAUAUGGA